rnacentral:rRNA from 1 species
GUAGGGAAUAUUGGGCAAUGGAGGCAACUCUGACCCAGCCAUGCCGCGUGCAGGAUGACGGCCCUCUGGGUUGUAAACUGCUUUUAUACGGGAAGAAAAAAUAUUACGUGUAGUAUACUGACGGUACCGUAAGAAUAAGGAUCGGCUAACUCCGUGCCAGCAGCCGCGGUAAUACGGAGGAUCCAAGCGUUGUCCGGAUUUAUUGGGUUUAAAGGGUGCGUCGGCGGAUCUUUAAGUCAGUGGUGAAAGCCUGCAGCUUAACUGUAGAAGUGCCAUUUAAACUGAAGAUCUUGAAUGUGGUUAAAGUAGGCGGAAUGUAUCAUGUAGCGGUGAAAUGCUUAGAUAUGAUACAGAACACAGAUAGCGAAGGCAGAUUGCUGAACCAUUAUUGACGCUGAGGCACGAAAGCGUGGGGAGCGAACAGGAUUAGAAACCCGGGUAGUCC